rnacentral:rRNA from 1 species
AUUGAACGCUGGCGGCAGGCUUAACACAUGCAAGUCGAACGAGUGGCGGACGGGCGAGUAAUGCCUGGGAACCUAGCUUAUGGAGGGGGAUAACUACGGGAAACCGUAGCUAAUACCGCGUACCAUAGGAUGAGCUCAAGUGGGAUUAGGUAGUUGGUGAGGUAAAGGCACACCAAGCCGACGAUCCCUAGCUGGUCUGAGAGGAUGACCAGCCACACUAGGACUUAGACCCGGCCCAGACUCCUACGGGAGGCAGCAGUGGGGAAUCUUGCGCAAUGGGCGCAAGCCUGAUGCAGCCAUGCCGCGUGUAUGAAGAAGGCCUUCGGGUUGUAAAGUACUUUCAGUCGGGAGGCGUUACCGACAGAAGAAGCACCGGCUAACUCCGUGCCAGCAGCCGCGGUAAUAC